rnacentral:rRNA from 1 species
UACGUAGGUGGCGAGCGUUAUCCGGAUUUAUUGGGUUUAAAGGGUGCGUAGGCGGCUUAAUAAGUCGGUGGUUAAAAGUAGCAGCUUAACUGUUUUACAUGCCAUCGAUACUGUUGAGCUUGAGAUAUUUGGAGGCAGCUAGAAUUUCCGGUGUAGCGGUGAAAUGCAUAGAUACCGGAAGGAAUACCAAUUGCGAAGGCAGGUUGCUACGAAUAAACUGACGCUGAUGCACGAAAGCGUGGGGAUCAAA